CACGUAGGGCGCAAGCGUUGUCCGGAAUUAUUGGGCGUAAAGAGCUCGUAGGUGGUUUGUUACGUCUGCUGUGAAAACCUAGGGCUUAACCCUGGGCCUGCAGUGGAUACGGGCAGACUAGAGGUAGGUAGGGGAGAAUGGAAUUCCCGGUGUAGCGGUGAAAUGCGCAGAUAUCGGGAGGAACACCGGUGGCGAAGGCGGUUCUCUGGGCCUUACCUGACACUGGGGAGCGAAAGCGUGGGGAGCGAACAGG
rnacentral:rRNA from 1 species